rnacentral:rRNA from 1 species
CACGCCGUAAACGAUGAGUGCUAGGUGUUGGGGGUCAAACCUCGGUGCCGCAGUUAACACAUUAAGCACUCCGCCUGGGGAGUACGUGCGCAAGCAUGAAACUCAAAGGAAUUGACGGGGGCCCGCACAAGCAGUGGAGUAUGUGGUUUAAUUCGAAGCAACGCGAAGAACCUUACCAGGGCUUGACAUCCUCGGACGACACUAGAGAUAGUGUUUUCUCUUCGGAGACUGAGAGACAGGUGG